AUUGAACGCUGGCGGCAGGUCUAACACAUGCAAGUUGAGCGGAGCGGCGGACGGGUGAGUAAUGCCUAGGAAUCUGCCUGGUAGUGGGGGAUAACGUCCGGAAACGGGCGCUAAUACCGCAUAAUAUCAGAUGAGCCUAGGUCGGAUUAGCUAGUGGGUGUGGUGAAGUCCUACCAAGGGUACGAUCCGUAACUGGUCUGAGAGGAGCGUGAGUCACACUGGAAGUGAGACACGGUCCAGAAACAUACGGGAGGCAGCAGUGGGGAAUAUUGGACAAUGGGCGAAAGCCUGAUACAGACAUGCCGCGUGUGUGAAGAAGGUCUUCGAAGUGGAAAGCACUUUAAGUUGGGAGGCGUUACCAACAGAAUAAGCACCGGCUAACUUCGUGCCAACAGCCGCGGUAAUAC
rnacentral:rRNA from 1 species